GUCCUAGUAGCGCAAUGAAUAGCUCGUUGGACUACUAAUUCAAAAGUCGUGAGUUCGAAUCCCACCUGGGAUG